AUGAUUAAAAUUUAUCAUUUAAUUAAUUAUUUUUAUAAUUUAUUAUACUCACUUAAAAUUUAAAUAAGCAUUUAAAUGAUGACUGAAGAUUACGUGACCAGAGCGUGAACACUGGUCAGCUACUCCAAAACUGUUUGGCUCAGCUUGGCCGCAGAGGAUCGCCCUCGCGGGAUGGUCACGUGAUUGUCUUGA